GAAUUCGUGCCGAGCACACCUGUCUACUACCUCCUCUCUCUGUCUCUCUCUUCUUUUAGCCAUUCUCUCAAAUACUUUUUUGUCUGUUUGAACAGCAGGAACAAGAAAUUCUCUUUUGAGUCGUCGUCGUGUGUUUGUGUAAACUUGCCAUCAAACUCUACCAUUUCCCAGGUGAUCAAGGUGACCGGAAACGAUAUUACACACACGCAUCCAUUUUUGUUUAAUGCCCUUUCCUUCCUUUUCUUUUUUUCGCUGAAACAUUUUCCCGAACGAACCAAACUGACCGGAUACGACAAAGGCAAUGAAGCCCAUCCGCCGCAGCCUGUUCAAACCCGAUGGAUAAUAUAAUUUUAGCCAUAGGCUCUUUUUUUGGAUUUUUCUUUCUCGGUUAUUGUGAGUUGGUUCCCAAUCACAGCAGCUAUAGACAGGUGACAGCAGCAGCAGCAGCCAAUGGCACCUGACGUGAUUUUCGGUUUGACUCUGGUGGCCUAAAUGUUCAAUGAUUCUUUUCUCUCAUGUGUCUAUAGGUCGGGUAUUCCAUCAUCAUUAUCUUGAUACAUAGCCCCAGGCGAUAUUAUUAGAUUGCUCAGGUAAGGAGGAGGAACAGCUGUUCAAGUUUUCUCUCUACACACGGUCGUCGUGGUCGGCUCCUGGAUGGAUGGAUGGAGACACGUUUGGCUUGGCUUCACAUUUCUUUUCGUUGUUAUUUUUUCCAACAGCAGUUGCCUCGUCUUCUUCUUCCUACGACGCGCUCGACUGGCUGGCAACCCGCCCCCGCCACUUCCGUCGCUCACGGCCAUUUUCCAUCAUUCGCCAUCUAUUGGAUUUCUUGUUCCCCAACAGGCAACCCGGCGCCGGCGCUUUCUUAUCGACCAAUCAGACGACGCUGCCACGCCCCUUUUUAUUCCGGAGCAAUAAGAGACAGUGACCAAUCACUGAUGCGAUCUUUGGAAUCAAUCUAUCGGAAUUUGUCGGUUGUUGUUGGCCGAUUCCCGCAAUGGCACUGGAAGAAUUCACGGGUCGCAAUUAAAUUUGACAGAUUUGAAUUUCUGGAAAAUGACACACUCGUGGAUCUUCAGUGCUGUACCGGGCGUCGGUUAUUCCAUCCUCUGCUUAUCUUUCAUUUCAUUUGAAUUGAAUUAUCUCAACAUUAUUGAGAGACUAUGUAGGAAAUUAAAUAUUCCGGUGAUC